rnacentral:rRNA from 1 species
AGGGAAUAUUGCGCAAUGGAGGGAACUCUGACGCAGCGACGCCGCGUGAGCGAUGAAGGUCUUCGGAUCGUAAAGCUCUGUCCUUGGGGAAGAAGGGAGCCGUAAGGCUUCUUGACGGUACCCAUGGAGGAAGCCCCGGCUAACUACGUGCCAGCAGCCGCGGUAAUACGUAGGGGGCAAGCGUUGUCCGGAAUUAUUGGGCGUAAAGGGUGCGUAGGCGGCCCUUUAAGUCAGAUGUGAAAGCCCACGUCUUAACCGUGGGACUGCAUUUGAAACUGGAGGGCUUGAGUGUCGGAGAGGGCAGUGGAAUUCCCAGUGUAGCGGUGGAAUGCGUAGAUAUUGGGAGGAACACCAGUGGCGAAGGCGACUGCCUGGACGAUAACUGACGCUGAGGCACGAAAGCUAGGGGAGCAAAC